UAGCUAUUUGGUUUCUACAUCCACAGGAAU
rnacentral:piRNA from 1 species